UUAUCCAAAUACCACACUUAAACUGUUUUUGGAUUUUUUUUUUGGAUCAUCUGUAAUUCAGGCUUACUGAAUAUUUCCAUCACAAAGUUCCUGGUGCAGAAUAUGGUAGCGGGGAUAGAAUCCAGAAUUUGCUUCCAGCGUGUGAAAUGUGCAAUUAUUAAAAGGAAAUAUUUAAAUAUUUAACUCCCACUGUGCUCUUGGGAUCACAGUGCCAAUAAGAGGCUUCAGAAAAAUUAAUUGUUUCAUCAAGUAGAAGCACCUGAGGAGGGUCCAUGGCCAGGGUGCUCUGCCAGGGCUUCCCAAGGAGCAGAGCUGCCUUCAGGAGGAAGCUGGGGAUGAUAUUUAUAAGGAAUGAAGGGUGGGAUCUGCUUUAGCAUCAAAAUAUUGAGCUUGAAAUUAAUAAUCAUCCAGUUAUGACAGCAGUAAACGGCAGUGGCACCCAGCUGAAGGGAAUGGCAGGGGGAAGUAGGAGUGUCCUGCACGAGAGAGCUGCACCAGGGGAUGCUCAGGGCUCUCACUGCAAGAAUUGGCCUCAGGGUGGGUUUACCUCAAGAAUUAGGUAAGGAUAGAAAGGUUGUCCCUGUGCUCACUGUGCCACAGAAGGUGUCAGUGCUGCCUGGCUGUGGCUCUGAGAAGAUAAAGAGGAUUUCUUUGUGACCCCCUGCUAUCUUUGAUAUUCAUUCAAGCGCUUGGGACAAUCCUGAGGACGCCCCUGAUACGAAAUGAAAAUAAAAAUGGAAUUUCUCUCCUUUCAGAGCCUUUCCUCAGAGCCAGAGCUGCUCAGUGCUGGCUGGGGCUGUAACUCAUGAGCAUUUCCAGCAGGAGCCAGAUGUAGGAACUCUCAUUUUCUAUGGCAGAUUCCUCCUGGAGCCAGCAUUACCAAGCCAUGAUUAGAUCAGAUGACACCAUGGGAAGUUUCAAAUGGAGAAAAAGCCGGAGCAGGGAUGCUGCAGAGCUGGAAUGUUCUGUCCUCAGUGAAGGGCCUUCAUUCCCAGGGAUCCUGUCAAAGGCAGCAGCUCUCUGAUGAAGCUCAAUAAUUUGGAUUUUAAUCCCUAACAGCAGCCACUGCCUGGGUGCUUGAUCACAGUGUGAUCUUUUCCUGUCAGCCCUUUGCUCUGCAGCAGGAUCUGGGGGAUUGAAUUCUCCAGGCUGAAACAGAGAUAUUUGUAUUUACUGAAACGAUGCCCCUUUGUAUUUAUCUCUGCAUUUAUCCAUUUUAUUCUCUUUCCAAGGCAGGAUUUCCAUUGACUAACACCAUGGGAAAUUUAGAAUGAGCCAGAGCCAGUUGAAAGCAGAGCUGUGAAUUCAUCUGCUUCAGUUCCAGUGCUCUUUUAUGGAAAUCAGGACUCUAACCAGGAACCUUUUGUUGUCACUUCGUGAGAGUUGGUGUGGCAGGAUAAAUUGAGUCAUUAAUUGCAAGCCCACCAGUGGGAUCUUGAAAUAUGGAUAUGAUGUGUGGGAAUGCAUGGGAAGCUGAAGGAAUGGGAUGUGCAGAGGCUGCCACAGUGAAAAAAAAUAUUGAAUAUGAAAGGUGAAAACAGAGGAAUUGAAGAGCAAAAGGUGAUUUUAAAGAAAACACAACUAUCAUCUGCAAAAAAAGGGGGAACAGCGAAAAGAAUUAAAUGCUGGCUAUUCCAUAUUAUUCCAAACAUCAGUUACAGAAAAGUGCCAUAAAUUAAAUUUCAUGGCAUCCUAUAAAACGUGUGGAUUUUAUGGGUUUCCCAUCCCUAACUCCUGGCAUUUAACACAAGCCAAAACAGGUGGAGUGGCAGGAAAAGGAGAUCUGGGGAGGGAUGAUCUAGAGGGGCUUCAGAUGCUGUUAAAGAGGACUUGCCCCUUGGAUCCUCAAAUUCUCAUUAUUAAUUUGGAUUUACUGAACACUUUCAAAUGGAUUGUGAUGAGGUAAUACAAAUAGAAGGAAUUUAUGAAUAUUUGUGGCAGGAAUACUGAAAACACUGGCUUUUCCAGCAGUGCAGAGGAGGAGAAAUCACUGCUGGAUCUUGUGCAGCUCUAGCAGCCACUCUGAUGGUGAUGUAACCUUAAAAAAGCACUGAAUUGGGCUGUCAAAUAACCUGAGCAGCAACGUGUGUAGAUAUAUAUAAAUAUAUCUGAAGUGUUACAUAAAAGAGGAAUUUUAAUAUGUUACAAAAACUGGUAACAUGAUGGCAAGAAAUCUGUUAAUUAGCAUGUCUGCCAUACAUCUUUUUGAACAGUCACCUUAAGAAGAACUGAGGACAGUGUUAGCAACGAUGUGAUACAAAAUAAUUAGCUUGUUUUCAGGGCUUAAAUAGUCAUUACUUUCCUGUGAAGUCCCUAAUUAAGCUAAUCCUAGUUUAUAAUACAUUAGCAACAACUAUUUAUGUAGAAGCUACUUCUUAGGGGGCUAAAAAUAACAUUCAAGUUUCGAAAGGCUCCAAAUGAUCUGCAAAAUUGUAGAGCUCGGGACAGGAACAAUACAGACUGAAAAAAUUAUGUAAGAGCUUGAUUUAUUCCUCGCUGCCCACAUGAAAUUCACUCACCUGAAGGCUGCAGAUACAACUGUUUAAAGGCUUUCAUGAAACAAUUUUCUCCUUUCUACUCUCAAAGCCCAUGACAGGCUGCUACCACGAUUUUCUCAGGAGGUCCUGUUGCAGCACUGCCCAAUUAUUUCCUAAAAAGUGUAAAGAUUUUUCUCCCUGACUCACAGUGUAAGAGAUGAAGGAAUGAUUUUCGGUUUGAUGUUCCACUUCAGUCAAAGGAAAAGAACUGAUAACAUGAAGUUGACACAAAACAAAGCACAAAAGUCGGUGCUGUUGGACAAAAUGAGCUUUGACCUUCGUCCACACACAAAAAAAAGGAGCUCUGAAAAGGUAGAAAAAGAUACAAAAAGAGGAAGAUCCAUAUCUUGCAGUUGCCACUUUUUCCCAAGUGGACAGAGUUAUUGCUUUCCCUGACUUUUUGCCUUGCUCCAUCAUCUACCUGUGGUCAGUUGGAGGCAAUGUUUAGGUACAAAGCCCUCAAGCCAUGCAGGAACGAGCUCUGAUGAAAUUAUCUGAGGUGGGAAAAUCCAGCCUGGUGUGGAAGACCAAGGUCUCCCCUCCCAGCCAAAAGGAAUCAUUUACUGGAAAGAAUUAAACAGCCAAUGAAUCAAAAUGAAGCAGGAAACCUGGAUCUCCCCAUGGCUUGGAUCUACAGGGAAGGGAUUUCACUUUCCAUUUAAAGACAGAGCUGACCUUCUCACGUAAAUAAUUUGUAGAAGUUUCUUUAUCAGCUUGGGCUCAAAAUGUGAGUGAGGUAACCACGGUGAGAAAGUGCCUGGGAUCCACCUGAAGUGCCACGAACCAUGGGCUUCCCUGCAGCUGCCAUCCCACUGAACCCUGUGCUGGCUGCAUCACAUCAUGGAAUAUUCUCUCUGUUCCCCCUGUACUGGAUCAAUAAUUGAUCCACUUUUCUUACAUGGGCUGUUGAAUGUGUUGUAAGAGGCAAAAUGUACACAGUGUGUGUAGGGGAGGGGGAUUUCCUGUGAGAGAUAUUUACAGGGCUGUAAAGCCCAGGAACAGAGGUAAGGCUGAGUGCAGGGAUGUGUCUCCCUCAGGUGUGACAAGCAACUGCUUUUCAUGCCCACUUUUAAUUUUUUUUCUGCAUGAGAGAUGCAAAAAACCACUCCAUAGACAAUUUGCUGAGGCAAAUAUCAGCGAGUCCUUAUUUCAACCCAUACAAAACAGAGAAAAAAAUUCACCACAAUGCAUAAAGUCCUGCAAUAAUGUGAUCUUGUGUUCAGAGCAGAGGCAACAUGUACACAAAUUACCCCAUUUUUUGUGUUGUUUGCCUCUGAAUUGAGAGUUGAAACUCCUGAUUCUGUCCCCAAGUGAGAUUUUGGUAACUCCAUUCUCACCCUGCUGAAGGCUUAGGACAGGCCUUUUAAAUUCAGAAACCCUUAAUGCACACAUGUACCAGGCUCAGGCUGAUUUUUUUAUGAGCACAUUUAAGUUGGAAAAGAUUAAGUAGAAUUAAACAUGGAUGCCUUUUUAACAGAGCUCUCUCCCAGAAGAGAUCCCUUUCUUCAGCACUCACUCCAAAGACUCCUUCAGCACUGUUAGAUUUGACUGCAAAUGACAGGCUGUACACAGGAAGCAGACAUUUAUGUCCCUAUCAUCACUUAUUAACUGUUGUUAUUGUCACUGACAACGUCGUGAUAAUAAUAGGGAUCCUCUCAACAGCUGGCUUGGAGAUGUAGGAGUUUAUGACAUUCAGAAGUGUCUCAGCAGAAGUGACAGGUGAAGGCAUGCUCAGAAGCAAUUUAUCCUGGGAAGAGAAUAUAAAAGCCAUUUGAGCUGGCUGAGACCUUGGGGGGUCUUCACUAACCCUCAGGAUUUGUUGUAGAGGUUGAAAAGCAGCAACGUUUUCUUUUAAUAAGGCAUCACCUGUAAAUCACUCCCCAGUGCCAGCAUGCUGCAGCUCAUCCAGGAAAAUCACUGCCAGGGAAUGAUGGUGUUGCACUAAACACGGUGGGGCAGCUGUGGAGGAAUGGAAAAAAGCAGGGAAAGCAGCUGUCAACCGAUUCAGCAUGGAGGGGAUGUGCUGAGAGGUUGAUUUCCUUCAGCUCUGGUAAGGUGUGGGAUUCUUGUGAGCAGGGUUUGGCUGCCGAAAGGCUCGGGCCUGGAGAGUGGGCAAUGCCUUCAGCUUCCCAGAUUUUUGUUUUGUGGGGACCUGAGACUUUCAGGCACCACCUCACCUGCAGUGCAAAGAACUGGAUCCUGUGUCCUCAUCCACAUGCACUUCUCCAAGCUCUGGUCCACCACCAGCCAAAGCCCCAGGAUCCCUCAUCACCUGCAGCUCAGGUUUCCAUGGGAUUCUCAAAGGGAUCUCUGGGAUCACCCAAAACUUAUGGAUGUCGGCCAAAACCCUCCUGGAUCCAGUAAAUCUACAUCCAAAGGACUUCAAAAGAAGGAUUUAGAAGUACAGAUCCCCAGCUUGACAGGAGACCAGCUCCACAUGAGUGACAGACAGACAGACAGAAAGACAGAGUGGCCUGAGCAGCCCUAGGUCGUGCCUACGCCCUGGUGGGCUGGGAGAGACCUCAGCAAGGCUUGGAAUGCCAAGAUGUGGCCAAAGAAAUAUUGUGUUGGGAGGUUUGCAGCUCAGCCUUCAGAAAAGGAGGUGUUUGGACAAUGCUCUCAUCAUGUGCUGGAUUCAUGGGGUGGUGCUGUGCAGAGCCAGGAGCUGGGUCUGGUGAUCCCUGUGUGCCCCUCACAAUCCAGGGAAUUCUGAGGUACCCAAUGCCCUGAUUAUCAUCUCUGGCCUCCAAGGCUGCCACUGUCCCUGCUCCACCAGCUGCAGGGAAUCUUCCCUGCUGCCCAAGGAAAUAAAUCUUUACACCUUCUCCAGCCACAAACAAAUAAUUCUGAGUGAUCCAAAUCAAAUGGCUUAGGCAAUGUGUUAUCUGAAGCUGGAAGAGGCAGAUUUCAGCUGUGACAAACCAAAGGCAGGGGGAGCAUUAUUAGCCAGGCUGUGUCUCCCAGGAUUAGAGGUAGGAGAUCUAAUAUAUAGAAGGACCCAAGGGUGGGAUUAUCCUGGGCUAAUACACCCUUUAGGUUUUGAAACUGCAGCCAAAGCAAUCAAACCUGUUACCAUAGCAUUCGUUUUAAUGCACAGAUAAAUUUGUAGCUCUUGUUUAUAUAGCUCAUCCUCUGGAGGCACUAAUAUGAUUCCCUUUAAAACUCAAGUUAAUGAGAAAAUAAUGGACAUUGUGGAUAUAAUAAACAUUUUUCCCACUGUCGCUGUCAUCAUCUUUUAUACAGUCAGACUGAUCUUUGAAAGUAUAAGUUGGAUUUAUUUUAUGUACCACAAAACCUUUAAAAAUCUUUCUUUAAACUGAGCUUUCUGAUUCCAGCCUAAAGCCAGAAACACUCACUGUCUAAACAUAUUUAUAAAUCAGUGUAUCACCCGUAAAUCUUACCUUAUCCCUAAUAGGAAAUUUAAAAUUGUAACUCUUGAAACUUCACCUUGGCAACGCACAUUCUUAUUUUAUUGGCUUUCCUGGACAGAAAGCGCUGAUGAGAUGGAGAAUGUGGCCAGGGAAUAGGGAUUGCAUCUCCCUGGCUGGGGGCAGUGAGCCGUGUAACGAAGCCAUGUGUGUUUACUUUCCUUUGGAUACAGCACUGCAGCAAAUCUUCAGCCUUUUUCAAGGUUUUUCAAGUUUCUUUUUAGCCCAGAAGUUGUCCUUCAAUCCUUUUGGACCAGCUGAGGAGCUCCAUCCUCAUGGAAUGUCCUCCAGUGCAAGGACAUCAGCAGGUCUGAUAUGAGCUGGUACCAAGCUGGUACAAAGCUCAGUAAUUCACUUUGUCUGGGAAGGAUGGGUGGUCUGUACAUAAUUUACAUUAUCUGGCAUUUGUUAUUCAUACCUAUAAACAAACACCUGUGUGGAUUGGGCCUUCAGACAUUUCAAACUUCCUAAGAUUUAAUAACAACAGCAGUAAUGUGAUUUGCUGGGUCUGAUGUUUUAUCCUUGGCCUCACUUGAAGAUUGUGGGAGUUUUGGUCUGAGGAGAAAGAUUUGGAGGCUGCUGUUGGCUGUGCCUCUGCUGAGGGUAUCUCCCUUGGAAAAUUCAUAUUGUUACUCCGUAGCUUUUGUCUCUGCUGCACCUGGAUUUUCUUAAUCUCACCUGGAUUUGGGACUGUUCCUGCCCUCCUUCAGUCCAGAAGUGUGGCCAUGCCAAAUCACACCUGCCCUUCCCUGCAGCUCUGUGUUGCUCCUGUCCUGGGGACACUUUGGUCUGUCUGGAGAGGCAGAAGGAUGAGAGAGAAGAGAGGAAUGUAAUAAUAAGAACAAUCUUGUGAGGUCGUGACCAAGUUAAAUUUCAUCUCCCUGGGCUUCUCCAGAGGCUGCUGCCUGGUUCAUGAAGAAGAGCUGUGUUUUUAUUCUCCCCCUGGACAUGCAGGCUGAGGUGCUGAGACAUCCCAGGAUUUUUGAAGCCUCGUUUCCACACAGACCAAUGUCAAGGCUUGCAGUCCUGUUGUUAAAAUGGAAAUGUAAUUAUUGACUCGGAAAAACGCUGCGCUGGGAGGUCACUAAUGAAGUCAGCCCCAAACGAGGGAAUUGGAGAGGGCUGCAUUGUUAGAGCCACCAAGAAAUAUCACCUCAGUUGUCAGCAGUGGCAGGAGAAGGAGUGCAAGGCUUUGGCUCGGGGUUUGUGGCUGAGCACAGCCACACAAAGUGGCAGGGCUGAAUUUGGAUUUUGGGAGUCCAGGACACAAGCUGAUCCUAUCAAAAGCCAGGACUGGGCAUUUAAUAAAAGCCAGACUUAAUUCUGCUGUUCCUUGGGCUCUGGACAACUCACCAGAGUGGGAGAUUCCUCCUCCAGCUCUCCCACCUCUGGGACACCAAACCUCUCCCCAUCCCUGUUUUCCUCUCUGCUGACACAGUUGGAGUCAGACCCAGCUGGUCCCUCUGGGAUCUGAGCAGGAAAACCAGUCCAGUUUUCCUCCUGACAGAUUUACUUUAAAUAAGUUUAUAUUUCUAAUUGCUUUGGGACAUGAAACAUGUAUGGAAAGAUCUCGAGGGAUUGGAUUAAGUAGUUUUAAUUAUGACUGGCCUCUAUGGAGAAGCAUUUCUUGAGUAUGUAUUAAGAAAUAUACUCUUGGUUUUUUAACCCCACUUGGUGUGUGGGAAUUUUCUAUAUCUGAAAAAGAGAAAUUCAUUUAAAUUUAAUGAUGGUGUCUCAUUAAUUCUGCACACCUGCUGUGAUCUACCAUGUACAAAUGAUAUCACAGGUACCACAGUGUAGGAAUUAGGGAUCUGAUCUAUAAUUCUUGCAAACAGCCCAGGCAGUUGGAAAGGCCAGGGGUUCAGUGAGCUUGGUUUAGGAUGCCCUCACACCUCUGGGCAGAUGUGAAAUUGUUCUCCACGCUGUGUUUCCAACGUUAGAGACACCAAAGAGCCCCAUUUCUGCUCCUUUCCCUGGGGACUAUUUCAGUUCAGCUGAUCUUAUUGCUGGGAAUAAAUUCUCAAUUUUUGAUCCCAUUUCCCCUCUAAUCCCAUUUAUCCAACUUGUAGCCCCCAAAAGGAUCCUUCCCCUCCUCAGGGUGUUUGCCCCAGGGAAUUUUAGACCAUUCUUGAUGUUGUCUUGUAAUUAUAGCUGAGCUGAUCUCCAUGUGUUCCAUAUGUGCCAGCAAACAGGGAAAACAUCCUGAAUCAAUCCAUUCAACGCUGAAUCAUUUUCCUGAGCUCUCACCAGCUCUGUUUCACUGCAUUUGGUGUUUGAUUUGUAAAACAGAAAUCCCCAACUGCUGCUGCAGGAUGGAUAUUCCACUGAACAGAGAGGAAAGGAUCGUGUAAUAAUAGCAACAACAAUAAUAAUGAUAAAUGAAAAUGACAACAAUAAUAUCAUUAUCAUCAUUUAAUUUUUUUUUUAAUCUCGCCAGAGAAAUAUUCCAUUUUAUUUUGAGGUUUGCUUGAAUGAAUUUUAGCUGGGGUUGGGGUUGUCAGAGCCUGAGCCCAAGUCCAGUGAAGACUUCCAGCUUAUUUUAAUGCAUAUGAUCAGAUUGGGAUUUGAAACCUCAGGUCUUCAGUUUUCAAGAUCCUGACUGACACAGAUCAAUGGAUUUUAUUCCAGAAACUCAGCUGGGACAGUUAAUGCCCAUUAAGAUGGAGACAGUGGGGUCCAGGCAAGUGUCAAAAUGUUCUUCUGAAUUGGAUAUUAUUAAAAACCUCAAAUUUGUGGAUUUGUGGAUUGAUACAAAUGUCUGGAAGCACAGUAUUUUAACUAUUUGAUCAGACAAGCCAAUGAGAUAAGGAGGGGAGAUAAAUUAGUGCAUAAUUUGCCAUUUAUUGAAUGACUACUGCAAUAUUUUUCACUCUUUCCAGUCAAGGGGGUGUUUAUUUCCUGCAUAAUUUGUUUAAGACCCCCUUCCCUUUCCAGUAAAAUUAAUUGCCCUCCAAUCUGGAACCAUAAUUCCCAGGUCUGUGCUGCAGUUGGGUGUGGUUGGGAAGGUUGUGGGUGUAACUUUGGGGGAUUUUGGCAUAACUGGAAUGGGGGAGUAGGAAUUGGACUUUUAUUUUGGGAGAUGAUAAGAUUUAAAGUGCCUUGUGUCUUCUAAUUGCCUUUCACGACCCUUUGGAGCUGCAAUCAACUGGUUGAGAAAAGCAGCAUUAAAAAAAUCAAAUUUUGACUUCUGAGAAUUAAAUUCUCAAGGCUUUCCUUGAGGAUAGGGCAUUUUUGCAUUUUUUAUUUCAGAAAAAUAUUGCUGGAGGGACAAAACAAUCACAUCAGUGAUUUGGUCACUCAGGAUAAAUCAUGGUUGUUCUGUUCAUUUUGAUCCAGAAUGCUCCUUCCUUACAGUUUUAGAAAUGUUUUCCAUUCAUGGCUUAAUUACCUCAGAUCACUUUCAGAGCUUUGCAGAAUAUAUAAUUUUAUAUGAAUAAAUUAUUUUCUCAAGAAUCCAGUGGUAUUAGAAUUUAUCCCCCAAUAAGAAAUUGUCAUUUUAAGUGCAGAGAUACAAAUAACAAUCCUUUUUUUCCCUUUCUCUUUUAAAGAUAACUUAUCUAAUACUAUAAAUCCAAUAUUAAAUAAAUCUGGGGAUGCAACAAGGGGCUACAUAAAUAAUUCACUUUAGCUAUUAAUGAAAUUCCUGUGCUAAUACUCAUGGAUUUAUUGCACACCAACCAUACACACAUCAAAUCUACCCAGAAUUUUCCUGCUGAAGACAAACAAAGCAAAAGGUUUUUAAAGGAAGAAUUGAAAUAAUGUGGAAGCACACAGCUGACUUUUAUAAAUACAUGAGCAAAUACAUGUUGAUUGCUACUCCAUGCUGAUAAAUGCAGCCUAUUGAAAACUGGGAGAAGAGAAAAUGUCUGCUAAAUAUUACAGCCUGGCUGAAUACUAACCAGGAAAGAGAUUUCAACUUCAUUGUUGGGAAUUCCCCAAAGCUUUUGCUUUUGCUGGUGCUUCAAUAGGCAGCUGUGGCACACACAGGACAAACAGAACUCUGUGCAAAAACCAAAACCCUCCCAAAGGAGCUGGAAUUGCAGAGUGACAGUUCCCUGGGAUAAAGAUAUUCCUGGGGUAAAAAAAUUGAUAGGAUUGGUGUUGUGCUGCUGGUGGAAUUGCUCUUGUUGGAACAAGCUGAUUUAAAUGUGUAAAAAUAUCUGGAAAGCUUUUCUAGGGGUUUUUCCUUUUCAUUUUAGUCCCUUUGUUUAGUGAGAAGCAAAAACCUCUUUUUAAGUGUUCUUAUGUGUGAAAAGGAGUGAGCCAAAUAAAUCUUCCCCUCGAGGAGGAAAUCCACCACUUCAAAAGGGACACCUUCCACUAUCCCAGGUUGUUCCAGCCUAGCCUUGGGCACUGCCAGGGAUCCAGGGGCAGCCCCAGCUGCUCUGGGAAUUUUAUUCCAGGGCCUGCCCACCCUCACAGGGAGGAAUUCCUUCCCAAUAUCCCUUAACCUGCCCUCUGUCAAUAGGAAACCAUUGCCCCUUGUCCUGUCCCUCCAGGCCCUUGCCCAAAAUCUCUUGUGGAACCCUUUUAGGCACAGUUUUAUAAAUAUAUCAUCUAUAUUGAGUUUCUUUUUUGGGAAUACACAUGACAGCAUCACAAACAUGUUAUAAUGUCAUUUAGCUGCAUGGGUUUUUCUAAAAAAUUGUAUAUUGAAAUUAAUGAAUACAAACUGAAUGAGUGUUUGAAUUAAGUGAGAAAAAGUUCCUUUUGUGAAAACCAGACUCUCUCUUUUCAAGUUUCUGGGCUGCCAGCCCCAAAAAUGAGAAUAAUACCUACCAGCACACUAGAAAUGAGGGAGCAGCAGUGUGGAAAUUAGUGUAUCCUAAUGGGAAAAUUAUAAGAAAUGCAGCUGUUCUUGCUCUCCCUACUGAUCCCAACCUUCAGAUUCCUCUGAAUUGAAUUGUAAAAUAAUGAUUCCCUUUUCUGGUUUCUCCCAAGAUACACAGUUAAUCCCUGAUAUAAAAAUACAUAAAGGAUACAUAUCUUUAGAAAGAACUAUUAUUAAAAUAGAGAAGGCCUCAAACCAAAGUGUUUCCAUCAUUUCCAGCUCAUAUUUGAACCCAGAUCUAAAUUCUCUGCCUGGGUUGGUCUCUUCUAAUCCUUUUGUUUAUAACCUGAUUUUCAGGGGGAAAAUCAGACUAUGGUUUUAACAGGAACAUUUGGCUGGUGCAGCGAGCACACAUACUGAAAUAAUCUGAAACAGCCUGUCUGCUUUAGCUUUUUUAAGCUCCUGAUUAUUUUUUUUUUCCUGAUGAUUUCAAAUGGCAGCGUAGUAAGAGCAGCAGGCCCGGGAGAGGCCCACCCCUGCUGCCAGCAGCGGAACCAGGCUGUGAAACAGAACUAAAACCAAGAGAGUUUGGUUUUUAGAGUUAGAGCUGCUAACCAAGAGAGGAAAUGUUAAUAACUCUAGGUGGAGGCAGGCAGCUCCCCAGGAGUGCCGUGGCUUUCAGGAGGUCUCUGGAGGCAGGGCAAUGCGUGUGUCGCUGCCCCAGCCCGCCAGCGCGGCCCUUGUGGCGGUGACAGCCGCGGUGACACGGGUGACAUCGUCCUCCCUCGUCUGGGGAGCACUGGCUGUGUGCAUGGGCCACUCGGGCUCUGCUCCCCCUGCUCUGCACGGCUGUCUUUGUGUCUCUUCUGGUUACCAGGGACCAGUUGUGACCCGAUUGCAGAUGGCAGCUGGUGCCAUCCAGUGUCUCUGUCCUCUGGUGCCCUGAAGACAUGCAAAUGAGAAAGAAAUGCAAGGGACAGCUCCUUUGUGUAAAAACCACUAUGUUAUGCAUAAUAUAUAACCACCUUUUCUUCCAAACUGCUCUUGGUUUGUUUUUCCUAAUGUGCCCUCUUUCUCUCCUGCAUCUCCUGCCACCAGAUCAGAAAUAUAACUAAAGGGACAAAACAAAAAAAUAAAGAUCGACAAAAAGAAUUAUUCUGGGACUUUCCAGAGAAACCAGGAUAUUUAUGGAUUUACUCUAUUCCCUGUGAUAACAAGUUUCUGAGAUGGUAAUACACUGUCAAAUAUUUUUCAAGGUUAACAGUUUAGGGACACAAUUAUGUUGCAAGUUGUCUGCAAGAUUAAUUAAGGGUAUUUCAGAGAUAUGGGAGAAAAAUUGUUCCAGCAGCUAUUAGAGGGUGAGUAAUCCCAACUUGAAGAGUAGUUCCCCUUCAGUUCAGUCCUCCUCAGAGAAAAUAUUCCCAUGUUUAAGGCAUACUCAGAAGCAGAUAAAAUGUGCAUGUUUUGGCUGAGAAGAACAGUGAUGGGGAAGCAAUUCUAGACACAACCCACACAGUCUCACAACCAGAGCUGGGAUGGCCCCACAAAGGUUAUUUUUAAAUAUUUUUAAAUAAAUAUUUCCCUGGGCCAGAAAAUACCAAAAGAUCUCCCACAGGCAAAGAAGGUGAGGGUGAGAGCCAGGCUCAGCAGAGCUCCCCUCAACAUCACUAACCACUGGGAGGGCAAUGGGGACCUUAUUAUCCAUCACUGAUAGAAAAAAUCAUUGGGCCAGUUAAUAAAGCAUCAGGGACUGUUUGUGAAAAUAAUUGCAAGGUCCAGAGAACUGUGAGUAUGAGAGAUCUGAAAUAAAAGAGAAAAAAACCCAUCAGCAGCCCAGGACUUUAAUCAAAGCACUGCAACCAAUGCACAUAUCUACCCAUCUAUCUAUAAUCUGAUAUUAUUUUUAAUCCCUUUUUUAAAUCCCAGUCACUAAUGAGGGAUAAUGCUGGAUUGAGGAGGGCCAAAGAGAUUUAUUGAUACCAACUCAGAGCCGUGGCUGUAAAUCAGGACAGUGAAGAAGUAUUCCACUGCUGGCUUAUGUUCUCUUCCUGCAAAAGGACAGGGAUGAAUGAACAAGUGUCUGAAUGAAUGACUGAAUAGAUGAAUGAAUGAAAGAAUGAAUGCAUCAUCAAAUAAAUACAUUAAAAUACAUUGCCAGCUCGCAGGGCUCGCAUGGCGCGGGAGCUCUUCGGGGCCUUUGUAUAAAGAGAGGCAACGGCAGCCUUGAUUUAUUAUAAAUUAAAAUCUGCUUUGCCCAAUCCCUCUGAGUGUUUAAUUUUUACUGAAGGUCAAAAGGUGCUUUGCUUUUGGAGAAAAUGCAUCCCAGUGUAGCUCCUGUUUCCAACGAGGAGCACGGAGCUGCCGCUGCCUGUCGGGGCUGCCCGCACUCCGAGGGACCCCGGGGCCACCAAAGGGUGACACAGCAGCACAGUCCCCAUGGGAGGACACCUUUGCUACCAUAAUCAGCCCUUUUCUCCCUCCUUGCAGGGCUCAAGGCCCUCUCCUCCUUGCUGACCCAAAGCCCAGCCCCCAUUUCAUGGAAUCAUGGAAUUAUGGAAUCAGGGAAUUGUUUACAUUAGCAAAGACCCCUCAAGAAAUCCAACCAGUCCCUCAGCACUGCCAAGGCCACCACUGAACCCUGUCCCCAAGUGCCACUUCUACACAUCUUUUAAAUCCUUCCAGGGAUGGUUAUUCCACCAGUGCUGGGGCUGGAAAACCCUUUUGCUGAAGAGAUUAUUCUCAAUAAUCCCUCACCUCUGGUGCAGUUUGGGGCCGUUUCCAUUUUCCCUAUCAAAGGGUAAGAUUUGUGAUCCUUCUCUGAAAUUUAACUCCAGGCUUGCCUGCCACGCAGCAAGGUGACAUCCUGUCCUGGGCAUGGGGUGGGAAGGAGAGGUGUAAUCCUGACAGGGACCCCGUGGCAGUUGUGGCUUUUCCAUCCCAAGGGCCAGGUACACAAAGAGCAUUCCAAAUCCCUCUGCCAGCUCCAGUGUGCACAAACCACCUCUGGAGCUUCAUGGGACCAGUUUUGUUCCCUUUGAGAAGGCUGGGGUGAUCCAAAUUUAAUUAUUUUUGAUUUUUUUUUUUCUGAAAUCCAUCUCUGUUUUGAACUUUGCACUUGUGUUUGAUUCCCUUUCCCUCUUCUCUAACGAGGUCCUGGAGGAUGAAGCUCUUCUAGCUUGAGAUGAAGGUCCUCCAAAUGAGAAGUACAGAGCCAUGGCUGCCAAUUUAAUUAGCUCUCAUGCAUUCACAUGCAGAUGGAAGGAUUUUUGGUAGGAGAGAAUCUGUUCAAGAUGAAUAAAUUACUUCAGUUUUUAGAUAACUAAACCAGCAGUUUUAUUCCCCACUGUUAAUAUUUCUGUCAGUCAGGUCAAGGAUAAUGAAGCAAAAUUCUAGAAAGGGUAACCCAAACCUUUUUUUUUUUUUUUUUUUUAAUUGCAAAUGUUUCCAUUCAUAAAACCUACAUCUGCAAGUACAAAAUCAACAGUUAAAUGUUUGCCUUUUCUGUGUCCAUAUUUCUCCAAGGAGAGAAGAUUUUUACCCAGAAUUCACUUAUAACAUUCUGCUGAAGUUUCUGAAGGAAGAACAAGUCUUCUAAACUUUGUUCCUGUUAUUUUAUAUUACCUGUGGGUAAAUAUGUUCUUUGCUGUUAAUAGAGUCAGUGUUUUCCUUCCAUGAUAAGAACUUUUUCCAUGUGUCUCCAUCAUGGUUUAGAGCAGUUCCUUUUCUCCCAGUUUUCCUAAGUUUAUUUGUAGCUUUUAUUGAAAAGAAAAACCAUGAAAACCCAACCCUGUAAGGGAACGUGGCUUAUGGAAUAAAAAUAAAAUGACCAAAAUAUCAUGGAAGAGAUUAGAGAUUUAAAAAGAGCAAAGUGCAAUGUAGCAGGACCCAUGUUCUCUGUUUUAUGAAACCACUUCCAGCAGAUGAAAUAACUGCUAGAAGCAGGUGUUUAUUCCAAAAGCUGCAGCAAUGUUGCUCUGUCAUGUCACAUGAAAUCAUCCCUGCUGCAUCAUGCUAUGUUACACCACAUCGUGGACGUAUGGCGGGGAACCCAGCGUGGAGUAACAGGAUGUGACAGACAGCAUUUAGCAAAAACGUUCACUUAUUUGACUCAGAUCCUUGCCAUCAGCUCGAAUCAGGGAGUGUGGUCCCAGAUGAGGCUGACAGAUGAUGUGAAUUCACUGAGGAACAGCAUCCAGUGGAAAUCUGAAAGUUUCUUGUUCUGUACCUGGUCCUCGUCCUGUCGAUGGCUUUGCUGUGCCCAGCUCCUCUUUCUCAGCGUUUCCUCCCCUGCUGUGAGUAGUGAGACUGGUUGGUUGUCAUUUAUUGUGACAUAACUCGUGACUUUCACAUGAGGGAUUAAUCACAUACUUGGUACGGAAGUGCUGUCAACUGGCAGCUGAUGGAAUUGCUGUAAACAGUUUUUAUCUGAGCAGAAUUGGGAACCACGGGAGAAGGUGUUUGGACUCUGUGCUUAUGUUUAGAGAGGGACUGUUUCAGGGAGCAAGAGGCUCAUCUGUGAGGAGACCUAUUUUGCAGUGUGACAAAGUCUUUUUGAUGCACUUGAAAAUAUGGAGACUUUGUUGUUGCUCUUGAAGGGACUGUUUUAUGCUAAUACUUCUAAAAAAAGGUUUAGGAAACAAGUGCAUGUUCAUGGAGACAAAAAAUCAAAUAUAAGCCAGGUGACUGAGGUACAGAACUUGCCAUAGUUGUAUUUUUAUAAAUAUCAGUCCUGACUUAGAUGGCAAUUUUAAAUCCAUAGGGCAGGACUUGGACAGCUGCAGGUGUGUUUGGUCACAAUUUGUCCUGGCAGAAAUUAGGAUGGGAGAUCCUCAUUCCAGGUAUUAAACAGGGUUUCAGAAGUGCUGGAGAAGGUAGUCCAGGAAAAUCAGGCUGCUGAAGUGUGAACAAAUUUACACAUGGACUUGAAGCUUCUCCUCCUUAUGAGGAACAAGACAACCAAUAGUUUGCAGGGUUCUGAAAAGAAACCUUUUGAUGAAAGAAAUUUUGUAUUGUGUCAGCAACUCACAGAAUCCACGGUCCUUUGUCCUCCCACCCUUCACAGAGGGAAUUUUCAAGACUCUUCUCAUUUGUGGUUUGGUCUCCCAUCAGCAGCUCACAGCCUUUGUCCAGAUGCAUUUGAUGGGAAGGGCAGUAAAUGCCAGCGGUGAUGCUGAUGAUGGAAGGUGCACCUGGGGAAUAAUUUCAUGGCUGAAACAUCCACAGCCUCCUGCGUGGUGGUCUCAGCACUCUGCCCUGAGGAGGAAAAAGAGCUAUUAUAGGAUCAUGGAAUAUCCUGAGUUGGAAAGGACUCACAAGGAUCAUCCAGUCCAGCUCCUGGCCCUGCACUGGCUCAACAAUCCCACCCUGUCCAGCAUUCCUGGAGCUUCUGCAUCCUCAGGCCCGUGCCCAUUCCCUGGGGAGCCUGGGCAGUGCCAGUAUCCUCUGGGGGAAGAACCUUUCCUGCUAUCCAACCUAUGGAUCAUGCAACCUAUGCAGAGUCAAUACGGAAAAUUCAACCUGUGCAAAGAAGAGGAGGAAAGGAACAACACUGGCCUCCUGUUUCCUUUGGUAUGUGCCAUCUUAGCUGAUACUAGAAGCAUGUAUUAUGUUUGAGGAAUUAAUUCCUCAUGGCUCUUGGGAAAUUUGGGAAGCAGGCCUGCUUUGCAUGUCCCCCAAACGCCCCGGGGUGAGCCCCCUGCCCACGCUCCCUCCGUGAGGUGCUGCUGGUGUUUGUGAUGAUGCUGUUCACCCUUCCCAGGAAGCCUCAGGAGCCUCCUGGCCUGGGGCAGUCUCCUGGAGCUGUGGGGAUGGCUGGGGUGGUGCCCCAGCAAUCUCAGCCCCUGUGGCCGUGUCCAUGAGCCGUGUGGGGGCCGGGGACCCGCAGGGAUGUGCAGUGGAGCCCCAGGAGGGGAAGCCCUGGCUUGGUGAGAUUCCCUGGAAAGCGGCAUGGGAUGGCAGGGUGGGAGGCUUGCCCAGCAGCCCAGGGGAGCUGGGAUGAAUAAAUCCUUAUCCAGAGGGGAAGCACCAGCUCUGGGUGAAACAAACCCAAUGCCCAAAGGGCCCAUGGGCACCCUGGGGAGCUGCUGAACAUCGAGGAGCCCCCCUGGCUCUGCAGCACGGACACAUCCCUGCUGCUCUGUCUGGAGGUGAGCCCUCCCCAGACAUUCCAUGAAGUGCCAGAAUAGCCAAAUUAAUGCUGCUUCUUGCUCCUGGUCACACCAGCCUCUCCAGCAGUUUUUAAGGAGAUGUUUCUGCCCAUCUCCCAAAGGCACUGUGCUUUUAGAAUCUGACUGACACUGGAAUUUGGUGUUCCAGGUGUUUGUGGAAGAAAUCCUUUCAGCAAGCAUGCUAUUUAUUCACAUCUUACCUGAUGAAAAAUAAUAAAAGAGUGAUUAUACAAUUAAUACUGGAUGUUGCUUAACAAUUGUAAGAGGUUUACUUAAUAAUUUUCUGAUGUUUUUUUCCCCCCUUAUUUAGGAAUAAAACAGACAUAAUUGAGCGUGCUAUUCUGAAGCUCCAAAUUACACUGUGAAGAGAAUUGAAGGAAACACAUUUCUUUGAUUUGAAUAUUUUUCUCAUUAACAGGACAUUCAGAAUAAAGCAGAAAUAUUUGAUGCACAGAGCCUGUGGCGGUAUCAAGUUAACACUGCCGUGCUCCCGCAUUUUACCUCAUGUUUACUAAUCACUCCAAAAAGAAAGGUCACAUCUUUCAUCACAAAAUGGAAACUUUUUGACAGCAAACAAUUGGAUUUUCAGCACUCCAUUUGAAGUGGAUUUCAGUGUGGAGAGUGAGAGCCCAAGGCAGUGGGAUGAGGUAACUGAGCAGAGCUGUGCUCUCGAGGUGUCAGUAACCACAAACUCUGAGUAAGGGCUCUCUCAGCUGUAUCAAGGUAUCAUGCUGUUCUCAAACAGGGGUAUCUGAGCUGAGAUUGUUUGGAGAACAGAACAAAUAAGAUUUGGGUAGGUGUUGGAGGGCAGUUUUGACUCAGACAACAAUGCCAGGGUUGAGACACUGCUGCAUGUCUGGGUCAGGAUGCUGCAGGACAAGUCAGCCUGAAGGGUAGGAGAGCCACAUUUACCUGCAGAGUGUUAAACCACAUUCCUCCUCUGAAGAGUCUUCUCUGUUUUAUCUCGUCUGUGCCUCCACCAUGGCCUUCUAGCUCUGUUCUUCUGGCUGGUUUUUUUAAGAGCUGUGUUUUGACAAAGUGAAUUUACUUGGUAGCUGGAAAAAAACCAAAAUGACAAACUUUUUUCCCAGGUAGAAAAUACAGCUUGGUAGUUUCUCAAGCAAAAUAAUCCCCAUGUAGUUUCUUCUGUUUCUCUCUCCUUCCCAUUCCUUCUGCUCCAAACAGAGGAGAAGCCCUGAAGUUCUUUUUGGCUGGGUGAGGGAAUUUCUGCCUCCCUGGAAGCAGUUCCCACCCAUCCCUGGGUGCAGAAAGGAGCUGAACCAGGGGCUGUGAGUGGAUAUGACCAGAGCACGGUGCUCAGAACUCCUCUUCACCCUCCCCUAGGCUCUGCUGUGAGCUACCCUUGAGACAGUGAAGUGAAAUCAGAGGAGUGACCAGGAAAUAUCACUGGCUCCGUUCCUCCUUCCCCUCCACUGGUUCCACAGAAUCAGCCUCCUCCAAGGAUUCUCCCAGGCGAUGACACCGGGAGGGCACAGCCUUACCCUGGCCAGGCUUUACACCUGGCUCCUGGAGAAAUCACUGGUAUGAAAAGAUGCACAGGUUGCCUGCAGCUCCAGCACAUAUUGCGUGGCAUGGCACACACAUAAGUGAGAUUAAUUUGAGUUCUGGGCAUCGUCAGUGCAAUAAAAACUGUGAUUUUUUUUAGUUCAGACCUACAGGCCAUUGCAGAGAAGAGUAAUCAUAAGACAGAAACGAGUUUCCUAGUUAAAAAUUAAUUCCCUAGACUAAAAAUAUAAUCAAACGAUGUCUACAGUAUUUUAUGAAGAGCUGGGAGGAUAAUAAAAUUUAAAGCAGUGCAACAUUUGCAUUUUGUUCAUUUCUAUCCAUAUUUUUCUGUAGACUGCCUUUCUGCGUGCUUGUUAAUCAUAUGCACUGCUACAGUCCUGGCAUUUUAAGAUCACUGUUCACAUCAAGAUUGAAAGGAAACUAAUUACAAUCACAUUUCAGGGUGGUUGUUCAAAGCUCGUUCGGCGCUGGCUACAGCAUGGGAGCCUUGACCUUUAUUUGUAAGCAUGAAAAUAAGGUAAAGAUGAAAGAUUGGUUUUCCUGCAGCUCAUACUCAGGGAUCAGGAGGCCUCCAGAGGGGUGUGGGAAGCCUCUCUCCUCUCCUCUCCUCCUCUCCCAUGCUGGCAGCAGAGGCCAGUAGUGCUAUGCAGAAGCUCUGCUCCACUGCAGCGAGAGGUGAAGGAAAGCUCCACGGUAUUUUUCAGCUCUCCCCCACGCUGGAAGAACAUGGAAAGAACCAGCAGCCCCGAGGAGCCUUUCUGACCCCCCGUGCAGAGCUUUGCAGGGAUUUGUUUGCAGUGCCUGGUGCUGCACUCUGUGCUUGGCUCGAGGUGUUGGCACGUGCCAGCCCCAAGCAGUGCCACGGUCUCUUCUGGCACUCAUUGAGUGGCUUUACCACACUCACAGUACUCAGGUGGAUGCACUGGGGCAGGAAAAGGUCCCUCAAACCUUAGGGAGUGCAGGUAAUCCUAACACAAUCCCAGGUUGCUCUCAGUGGGAAUGCAUUGAGAGCGUGCUGGAUGGCAGAUUUAUCCAGCAGGUUUCACCUUCUGUGUCCCUGGGUUUUCCAAACUGCUGUUUUAAUAAAUUUGUGCUGUGCUGAGAACGAGCUGAGGGUUGGUUGCACGAAUGGGUUUCACCCAGGAGCUGCUGAUGGGGGGCUGUCCCCAAAUGCCCCUUUCAGAGUCACUGCCCCGUGUUCAAAGCCGAGCCACGGCGAGUGCUGACCCCCAAAGGAUCUCCUGAGCUUCUGCCCGUCCUGGAUUAUCACAGCUCUGCCUGGAAUGAGCUCAUUGAGGAAAAGUUCACCAGCCCUGAAGAGAAACAAUCCCAUUCUCCUCCCACAGUGUGUUUACCCUGCGCAAUCACCCCGUGUCCAGGCAAUCUCUGCUGGAGCCCUGACGUCCAGUGGGUUUUUUGGCAGGAUCUGCCAGGUAAUUUGUACCUCCUGGUUGGAAAAGCUCUAUUUGGGGCAACAAGCAAUGAGAGAAGGGAAACUCUUCUCACACCCAGCUCCCAGCCCCCCUCAGCCUGCUGCAGGCACAGAACCACCUGGGCCAUGCCAGGACACAGACCUUGCAUGCUGCUGGGACCCCGGAUGCCACUCAAACCAAGGAGAAAAGAUGAUUUUGCAACACUUUUUCUGGUCUGUUCUCCUUCUCUCUACAUUCUUCAAAGCACAAAUUUACCCAGGCAAAUAUUUACGGAAACUGAAGGAAAAAAUAGACUGGUGCUAUAGACACUGCAGCAGUGAACUUCUAAUUACAAUCCACAAAGUAUUUAUGAAUAAAUUCAUCUAUUAUUUGUCUAGUUCGAGCACUGCGUACACUUUGCCUUGUACCAUUACAUGCUGAAGGAAACAAUAUGCAGCAUGAAAAUGAAAACAAUUUGACUUAAUUAUUUACACCAUUACCGCCACUUUGAAUUAGGCCUUCCAUUUCUUCGGGAUUUUGUAAAAUUUAACCGGUAAUUACGCUUGCUUAAUUAAUUUUAUUUAUCUACUACUACAAUGAGAUCAAAACAAAAAACCUACCAGAAUGCAAAGUACAGGCUGUGCACCCUAAUUGUAAAUGUUGCUUUUAAGCCUUUAUGAUAAAAAUGUAGUAUUUUGUACCAUUUCAUUUCAAGCGUAUCUGGCCAUGCUCCAGUACUAUUUAAGCGUAAACAGGAAAAGCCUUGGAGGACGAGUAAUCACACUUAAAUGACACAAAGAUCAUUAUAAUGAUGUUCCAAAAACAUGGCAAAAUUAGAUAUUGCAGAACUGUUUUCUUCUCUGAAGUGUUCCACCAGAUGGUGAAGAGUGCUGAAACCGUAAAUCCGAGAGAGGGGAGGAAAAACAUCCCCGCACUUCCCUCACGCUCCCAUCCCAGCUUGUCUCAAGUGGCACCUCACACCUUGGCUCUGUCAAACCUCUGAGCUGGAGAUGACACCGAGGUGUUUGAGUGCUGAAUCACAGCCUGGGAAAGCCCUGCUUUGUUCCAUUAAAGUUGUCAACCGGAUUUAUUUGGAGGCGAGGACGAAGGAGCGCGUCAGCAGAAGUUAUGGUGGUAAUUUGUGAAACUCUUAAUGAGAUAUUUUCAGAGCUCAUAAAGAGGAAGAGCCAUGUCAUUGAAUUACUGCAGAACGAGUGCAUUUUGAUACAGGAAAAGAGUUGGGCUUUUGUCGGAAAUGGCACUGCAUCAGUGGGGAUGUGUCAGGGAGUAUUUAAAGGGGUCUAACAAGGGUUGUAUAAAUGGGGUUCAUAUAAAUGGGGAGAUGUCUGUGUGUGUUUCUGCUCUGCAAAAUGGCCACAAGUGAGGUAAGUCUGCACCUUUAUCACUAUUUGUCUUUCUUUCCAAAGUUACUUUCCACAGGACUUGCUAGGUCUUCAGAUGUCAUUAGAUUUUUUGUUAUUUUUUGUUAUUAAGAAAUAUCUAGAAAAUUGGAAUUACUCAUUAAAGGAACAUCUAAUUUUGUUACUUAAAUAUUGGUCAGGGGGUUCUACUUUUAGGAAUAUCAAAGAACCUCAAGCACCUCCAUCCAUCCAUCCAUUCAUGCUCUCUGGAACUUCUAAUCUAUUUUAAUAUAUUGUGGAGAAUCCAUAAAUGAGCAAGGUGAAGGACUGGGGAGCUGUGGUUUCUGCUGACCCAUUCCCAGUCCUAGCUCCCUCUGGAAAUCCUGUCAUGUCCUGGGAGACAGUGAAGUCACAGUGGGCUGUGCUCUGGAGAAGGCUUGGGCUGGGAUGCAAUAAAUGAAGGAGAAGAGGGUGCCAAAGUACUGCUGAACCUUCCACAUUCCUGUUUGGUGUAAAUGUCUUUCCAAGCCUUCCACCUUCCUGAAACAUUCAGUUUCUUAACAUUUCCUCAGGAACACACAUGACAAAUCCAGAUCCGCAGGAAAACUUGUCCUUUUUCGCUGAAAGAUCCUGAAAUGGAAGGUGACUUCAUUCCCGACUGGCAGUCAUUCUAAUUCCAUGCUGAGCAAAGGAACAGUCUCUCAUUCACUGUUACAAAUAUUUUUGAACUGAAUGUUCACAGAGUCCGAAGAAUGGCCCACAUGCUGCAUUUGCUGCACUUCCAUUAUUCAGAGUUAGCAAUAAAAAUCAUGCAAAAUUCUCCCCCCUUCCCAUCCACCCCCAGUCAAUGGACAUUUGGAAAUGGACCUUGAGAAUGGGAGAGGGUGAAUACAAUAUCAGCAAUCCGGUUUAUCCAUUUGCAUCCAGCUCCUCUGCUGAAGGGAGGAGCCUGUGCAUGGCUGGUUUUCAAUGGCCUGUGUUAAAUGAAGGGCUGAUUUCACCCCCCUGCCUUGAGGACAGAGGACAAUUUGAUACUGUAGGUGACAUUAAAUGUCAUCUCAACCAUCCUGCUCAGGUGGCAUCACAUGGAAAGUAUUCCAUAAUAUUAAAAAUUAUCUCUGAACCAGUGGGAGCUUGCACAGAUCCCACGUUGCUCCCAAGCUAAAUAACUUGUGAGAACAGGCUCUCAGGCAAACUGUACCUCAGUUUUCCCUCUGCAAAACAGCAACAGAAGGAUUUUGGGAAAGCAUUAUUGUAUUUUCACUCGACACGGAUUAUUCUCUUUUUAGAAGGGCUCUUCUAACAACGCCAAAUCUUUCAAAAAACUUGAUUUACCAACAAAACCACUUUACAAUAAUUAGUAACCUCUCUGCCUUGAGGAAGGCAAAGGUUUUAUUCUGCUGUCUGAGCUUAAUUAUGUUUUCAGAGCCGUGUCAUGGAGGCUCAGAUGAAAUUCUUGCUUUGUGUGCAAGAAAGUCACACCACAUUUGCAUUUGUUUGACAGAAGCCCUGAUCUCAUCCAAUAUGGAGUGCUCGAAUUUGGCAAUGCUCCCGUUGGACAUCUAUUUUAUAUUCUGCCUAAAUUCCAGGCAAAAUAUCAUUCCUUGCAGUUAAUGCUGAUACCUUGGAGGGAGGGAAUAAAGCCUGGUCUGUCCAAAUGAAAUCCCCUGUCGGACAGAGCUCUGUCUCCACCAGCCAGCAGAGGCUGCUCUGAUGUUAAUGAUUCAUUAUUAAAUCAUUCAUUAUUUUCAGUAAUAAGACACAUGGAGGAAAUUGAACCCAAAUAUUGAAAUGAUGCAAUGAUCUAUGAGCCAGAGGGUGCUAUUUGGGAGCAGGCUGGGAAGCAGUAGUCCCUAAUCCAAGUCUUCUGGACAACCUGCUGCCCACGGGAUUUUCCAACUGGAUGUGGCCAGGUGGGCUCCAGGAGCAGCAGAGCACAUCCUGAUUCUGACGAGAUGGUAAGGACUGGGAUUACUCUCCUAGCAUAUAAAUUCUGUCACUCUGGUCCUUAAAAACCCAGGGUUUGUUCAACGAGGAGAGCUGUGGGUUUUAAUUGGAUACUUGAAAUAAACAGAUUGUCUGCCCUUACUUAGCAAACGGGAUUUUUUUUUAUUUCCCAGUUAUUAAUUUCCUUAAAUGUAAAGUGACAUCUAAAAUGAAAACAGUUUAUUGCUUGCCAGGAGCAAAGCCGGCCUAAUUUAAGAAAUCCAGAAUUAAAGCUUUUGAAGCAUAUCGGGGCAUGUUUAUAAAACAAUUAUCAUUGCAAACCUUCUCUCUGCUCAAUGCAGCCUCUUCAGGCCACCUCCAAAGCCUGAAACUUCAUUACCAGUCAUCCCCACCCCGAAAUGUUUCAUCAAUUGCAUAAAAUCAGGUCAUCCUUUGAUUGCAGCUUCCCUCUGUCGACCCAGGCGUUGAAUCCCAAACCAAACCCACCUGGAACACAUUCGAUGCCCAAAAAAAAAUUAACUCAGUGUUUAAAAUUAAGUAGUGUGCUCGUUAUUAAUAACUGACAGCAGACAAAGGAGUGCAGUGACCUCUCCAACAGAGCAUUUAAAUCUUUGCACAACAUGCUCUGCUUGUGCUAGGCUGGUUUCACAAACAACAGCUGUGGAGUUCGUUAACAUAUGAAUCCCCUUGAGGUAAUUUGGAGGAGCCAAAUGUGCUAAACUAAACACCUCAUUAAAGCAGUACUUUAAAAAACAAAACAAAACAAAAAAAAAAACAAAAAAAAACCACCAAAAAAACCAAACCAACCCCAACCCCAACCAAACCCCAAACUAAUUUCACAUUCCACUUCCACACGUGGAGAUUCUAUUAUGUGGAAUUCAUUCAGCUUCGUGGCUGGAAAUAGUGAGGGUUAAAAUCGGUGAGACGGGUUUUUCACUGCUAAGAUGCACUUGAGACUAAAGUGCCUUUGAAGUGUGCCUGUCACAAAGAAGCAAUUAACUGAGGACAAUAAUGUUUCCUUUUCCUCCCUGUUACUGAGCACGGGACUCAAAUUUGUACUCAAAUAUGCAGGACCUCGUUUCUCUCGAGUCUUGGGAGAGAAUGGACAUAACCAAAGGGACUCUCAUUUGGCUUGGGCAAGGCAGAAUCACACCAAGGGCUCCUGGGUGUCCCCCAGGAAGGCCUUGCAAGAGAUUUUCAGAGAAAUCCUCCAUGAAAACACUGCUGCAAGUCCAGGUGACCACACUCAAGAGCUACAGUCCCAAGAGAGUGGGAGAAACACGUCCUGCCCUUGUUCUUGCAGGCUCCAGAGGGCUCAGGUGCCCUGACCAAAAUUUACACCAAGAACAGCUUCUUUCAGUCCUUUUUUAUUUCUCCACCAUGCUAUUGGGAUAAUUCUGCUGGUAAAAAGGUUCACAAGCUCCUUGGAGCUGCUCCUCCUGGAAAACAGCAUCUCCUGCCCGGGUAACGCUGCCCAGUGAAGCACUGGAGCUUAAAUAUCUCCUGUGAUGUGCCUGUUCAAAAAACACACAGAAAUCCAGGCCUCUCCUCAGAAAAUCACCUUUUCUUCUCUGUCUCCAGCUGAAUUUGUUGGUGACUGGAAGGAGGGAUGAGGAGGACAAACGUUUCACGGUCCACAGUGAAUUUUACAAUAUUAAAAACAAUAUAAAGAUUGAUCCCCAAAACUUCCUGCCCCCAAAAAGAUAAAAACUAGUCAUCCUUCCUUUUUACCACUGGUUUUCUAUCUGCAUCGAGAUACUUUUUAAGAGAUGUUCCUAGAAUUUAUUAAUUCCCAAAUGGGUGUGCAAGUUUUCUUUUAAAAAUGUAGAUGUAUUUUCAGAUUUUGAUAAUGAUCUAAAAGACAACAGGGAAUUUUUUUGGGAGCUAGAGUCUUAUGAAGCAACAGCUCAUUUUCCUUCAGGAAAUUGUGGUUUAAGGUUCUCCUGAAUGACCUCUAGCUAUAAGAUGCCACAGAGCUCAUAAGUAUUUUGUUUUUUUCCUCAAAAAAACCUCCUAAUUUUAAUACUCCAUCCACAUCUAUUUUAUGUUUCCUUUAUCAGGAAAACAUCAACCUAAUUAGCAAUGAUAAUUUGGGACUUCCAUAAGAAACCAUUCACAUGGAUAAAAACAACAGAAGUUAAGUAACAUUGAGGCAUUUCUGCAUGCUCCAUAGUUUUUAUUUUCCUUUUUAAAGCCUUUAUUUCUGAAACUUAGGCAAGGAACUUGGUUUUAGGGUGCUGAAAAAAAAAAUAAAUAAAAAUCUCAUGCCUACAAUCUUAUUUUUGUUCGCUUUAAAGCAUAGCUUUAUAACAUGUUGGAAUUUCCUCAAGGUUUUGUAAAUACUCAUCUGAAUUCCUCCCAGGUAUUAGUAUGUCAUCCAAAAACCAGAAAAUACUAUUUAUUCUCUGCAGGAUUCAAUCCAUUCGUCUUUGAAAUCCUGCAGGUAACUGGCUCCCCCCAGGGUAAUCUUUCCUACUUCAAUAGGCACAAAUGUGUGAGUUCAGUCAGAAUUAGUGUGUUUUUAAAAUUCCGAUUCCUACGGAGCUGCCAGGCUUUGGACAAGCACAGUUUGGAAAAGUCUAUUCCCUGUGCCAGUUUCUGAGGUAAAUCCUGUGGUUUGGGGAUUUUAAUGGGCACACAGAGUGCAGCACCUGCCCUGACUUCCACAUGUUCCAUCAGUCCCACUCUUCCAACGCCUGUUAUUGCUUUUCCACGGUGUCUUUGCCUGUGUUCUGCACAAUUAUACCUCUAACAAGUGGAAAUAUUCCUGACACUUUUCCUUCUGCACAGUUUUUGGCUUGGUAAAUCCAACUUUCGCUCCUCCCAUUGGCAUUAUUGUGCUGCUUCUCAGCCUGGCUCCAACUUUUGUCUGAUUUUUGUAAUUUAACAGCUUUAAUAACAAAGGUCCCAAGAACCUCUGGUGACCCUGCCCUUUCUGGGAUUUGUGAAUCCCAUUUUCUGAGACAAAUGCUGUGUGAGAACCUUUGGGAUGAUCCAAGCCAUGCCUUCAGCAUCCUCACUCCCUCCCAGCCUGAGGACAUGGUGUGACCAAGACUAUGGAUUUUUAAAUGCUGCCACAUUUGAUUUAAACUGAGCUCAACACCUUCACCAGUGGCAGUUCCUUCAUCCACCCAACACCCAGCAGCUUCUUUCUCAGUUUGGGGAAUUAUACACAAACAGCAAAUUGAUUUCUGAGAGUCUUUUUCAUAGAAUUACCAUAACAACAAGGACAGUCAUUCAAAGCAAGCCAAAAAUGCAGAAUUUCUGGGCUGGUUCCUUAUUUGCAACCUAAAUUGUUCUAAGCAGGAAUUUGUGGUAGACACAUGAUGUUUUGCAGAGCCUUUAUAGGGACUUCAGAAUCCAUCUUGCUGCCUUUGGAAAACCCAAGUCUGAGCACUGCAACCUGCAGCAUAAAUCUUGAAGCUGUAUUUUUUACUUACCAGUAAAAUAUUCUUUUGCAUAGAUGUAUUUCGACAGCAGUUGCAUAAAAUACUGUUCAUAAUAAGAAGGUUUUGAAAUCUUCCACUCUUUUCAUAUAUCUGGAAAGUCUCAUAAAUGGCUUUUUAUCUAUGAGCUUAUUUCUUAAAGUCCAUUUUUCAGUGCUGUUUUUUUUCUGAGUUAAAAAUAACCAUCAAACCCCACAAAACAGACUGAGAAGACAGUGGUAGCCUAAGAAGGAGCUGCUCCAAAGCUGAAGUUUUUUAAUGGGAAGCUCUCAUUUUGGAUUCUUGUACAAACCUGAGAAUCAACUGCCACACAGCUGCAAACUUAAAUCAUCACCCAGGUGAAGCCAAGAGAUUCAAUUUAUGUAUUUUUUAAAGUGAAACCCUUGCCUAAGUUCCUCGUGCCUCUUUCUGCCUGCAGUCAGUGCCUCCAAAGAGCAGCUCUCUCUCCUUUGACAAGAGACAAAUUUGGCUCUCAGAGCUGCCCUGCCUUGCUCUGAAAAAUGAAAUUUCAUUUGAGACAUUUCCAUCAGCCUCUGGUGCUGUUUAACCAUCUUUCUCCCAUGCUGGAGCAGAGAGCAAUAAAGGAGCAGGUCACCAAAAAAUGGAUUAAGUGCAAACUCACAUGUGUCACACCAAAGUUCACUGUUGACUGAAAGUAAAAUAGAUUUUAAAGUCUUUUUGGAGCAGCAAGAUUCUAGAGGAAUAGAUCAAAUGUCUUACUUUUAUAUUGCCAAAAAGCUACAGAGACAUUUUUUGUCUCCUGUGUGUUUUGAAAGGAUCUUGUGUGUUUUGAAAGGAUCACAAUUUUGCCUGAGGGCCAAAUGAGAUAAUAGUAGUAAUAAUAAUAAUAACAAUAAUAAUAACUACUAUUAUUAUUAAUAAUAAAAACAAUAGCAACAAUAGCAACAAUAACAACAACAACAACAACAACAAUAAUAAUAAUAAUAACAAUAAACAACCCAAGCAAGACUAUUAGGAAAUAAUUGAGAAUUAAUAAACAUAUUUUAAAAAUAAAUUCCUGUGACCUUUUACCUUACAGUUAGGUUUAAUUAUAGAAAUACUUUCACCUCAAGAUGAUUAAAAUGAUAAUUUUUUUGAUUUUCAGUAAAACUUCCUGCAUUGCUCAUAGAGUUCCAUUUGGUAUCUCUGUUAUUCAUAAAAUUAAAAACCUAAAAAAAUAAUAAUUAAGGAAGAAACAAAUAUAUUCAGUCCAUAAAAUGAGCAGGACAUGCAUGAAAAAUAAAUAAAUAUAGAGAGGAUUAAAUUCUUGCAAGUUGUUCAUUGCUGAAUUAAGUGAUGGACUAAACACAAGCUUUUCUUGCCCUCCCUACUCAAGAUUUACUCUACUUAUCACCCAAUUUUCAAUUCCUUAAUAUACAAAAUCAUUUGCCUUCAAGGCAGCAAUAAUUUAGGACUGCCAUGGAAAUGAAUGUUUUUUUCCAUUAGGCAAAAUAAUUAUGCCAUAUAUCCCAACAGUGUCUUCGGCCUCCCAUCUCUGUGUGAAGGAAACCAUCAGUCAGCUGAGAUUGCACUGAAAAUCUUCAUCAACAGCUGCUGCAUCGAAGGAAAAUAAAAAAUAAAAAAUAAACAGUGACUUUUUCCAUGUUCUGGAAAUGAACACCUACAGGACAGGCACCGUGUCACAGUGAGGCCUGCUGCCUCCUGAGACAGGCAUUUCAGCUUGAUUUACGUGUUUGGAAGGCAGUACCUGUGCAAAUUUAAAGCCUGCAGCUCUGCUCAGCAGAACUAACUCGUAUAUUUUAUUGUGGUUUUUCAUGGGGCUGUGGGACUGUAACUGUGAGCACAGUAAAUCUUUACAAUCUUGGAUUCCUCGCGUGCUGCGCCCGAGGCCCGAGGCCCUCGUGAGGUGUUUUACUGCCCCUCACUCAUCCAGAACAAAGCUCCAGAAUUCUGCUCUGGGUGUGCUUCAGAAUUCACCCCAAGUGUCUCAUCUACUCUGCUGAGCUGCCAGUCACCUCCUGGGGACACUGUCCCUCCCUGCGAGCUCCUGGGACUGUCUGACUGCUGCUUCCAGCUCCUGAGGCUGGGACAUUCCAUCUGGAAACUGGACACUGUGACUGCUCAGAAAGUGCCUUUCAGCUCUGGAUCUCCUCAUGUCCCCCCUGGCAGCUGGAUCUGAGCUCGGAGGGGCUCCCUGCUAACAAGGGAGCUCCAUUCCCUGAUCUUCUCCUUGCUUGGCUCUGGUGGCUGAAUUGCCUCUGGCUCACCUCAAUCAGCUCCAUUUAUUCCAGCGUUUUGAGUAGCUGCAUAUGAAAGCCUCGCUGAUGGAGAUAUCACAUGGCUUUGCUUUGCCUACAGACAAUGAUUUCAUCUUAAUAAAGUCAGAUUUUGGCUCUGCCUGCUGCACAGUCGAGUGAGCUCUCCUACAAGCCCCACAAUGCAGCAGCUUUGUGAGGGGAAAAAAAUACUGGACAGAAUCAUUUAUCUUUUCUCUCAAUAAUCCUCAAAAUGAGCCAUGACUGACAAGUGGGAGCAAGGAGGAUUUGAAUCACUUGAAUUUCUUUUUCCAGGGUAUUUUUUAUUGAAACUGUGGAUGCCAUUAUCACUGCAGGAAGAGUUAUGAGAGCAUUUAAAGGGUUAAGACCUUCAUAUGCCUGAGGACACUUUUAAACCCUGGUUUUCUGUACUGCUCAGUCCUAUCAGGUUUCUUUCUCCCUCUGGUCAAAAUAGUAACUUAUAUAAUUGCCUAAUUCAUAUGAAUUUGCAAGGCAACAAAUGAAAUGACAAAGCUCCUCGGAAACACCAGCAUUACACAAAAAUACACAUAAAUCAAAUAAGCACCUCCAACACCUGAAGUGACACGUAGCCACAUCGAAUUCCUGCUCUUCCAACUGCUCAGCCCACGAAGCAGAGCAAAAAAUGCAGAGCACAAGGCAGAAACGUGCCAGGCAGCCUCUUUGGGAGGCUGUGCAUGCCACUGGCAGGGGCUGCUUCACAUUAGUGCCCCUCAAUUCUUUGACUGAUUCGUUCCUCGGGUGUAACAGCUGCCCACAGGUUGUACCUGCAUGGGUGAAUCGAGUGUGACACAAAGCCAGAACAUUGUGGUGCGUUGCUUCUUGUACUGAUAAAUAUUUCAGCAGAAAGCCUAAGUGCUCGUUCUGCAGCGCCCGAUCCUUCUCUGCUGCAAGAGGCAGAAAAAGCAACGGGAAAACUGCUGCCCAUAAUGGAAAACUUAAAAAAAAAUAAUAAUAAAAAAAUGUUGGUAAGCUUGUGGUAAUGGAACACAUAUUUUAAAUUGAUUUUUGUUUCUUAGGAGGAUUUGAAGCACUUGGAUUUCUUUUUUUUCAGGGUAUUUUAUAUUGAAACUGUGGAUGCCACGGUCACUGCGGGAAGGGCGAUGAGAGCAUUGAAGGGUUAAGACUUUCACAUGCCUGAGGACACUUAUAGUCCCUAAAAUUCCACCUAAACCCUACAACUCCUUUGUUGUUUUUUCCUUUUUGUUUUAUUUCUAACAGCCAGUCCAUCUACAUAGGUCAGCCCUGAAUGGGCCACACUUCAAGGCUCUUUCCUUCAUGGAUUUUUUUUCCAUGGAAGUAGAAGAAAAAGAAGAAAAACAUCUGAGCCACUCUAAGUUGGAGCAUCCUUCUCCCCUCUUCCCCCUUUCAGUGUCAAGUGAGAGAUUUACCCACCUCCCACCCCAGUGAUACCAGACAGCAAAAUAUCCUGGCUCCAAACAGCAUUUCCCAAGCUCUCAGUCAGCCCCAGGAUUCUGGGAUAAGCAAUUCCAGCUUUACCAGGAACCCUGCAAAUAAUAUUUGUGCAGCUCCCAGGACAAACAAACACGGGCAGGAAGCAUUUACUAACCCAGGCUGUGUUAAUUGCUUCUGGGAGUGUCUGCAGAUGAUUCUACCUGAAAAUAUUUGAGGAUUUUUAAUGAAAACUCAUAGAUUGUGGCACUCAGACAACAAGGCAAACAUUUCCUUCAUUACUUCACUGGAUUUUGAAAUUAGAAAGGAAAAGAGCCACAUCUGUGCUCAGGAGUCCUUUUCCAAACUCCCCAUCCAGCUCUGUUGGCUUCCAUGGCUGGACAGUAUGGAUUGAGUGGUCCUAAAUUUGGGAUUUACUCCUAAAACCUCGAGUGUUUCACCUCAUGGGUUAUUUAUUGCUUGGAAAUCAGGAAUUUGUGAGUAAAAAAAGGUGAGGGAGGAGAAUUAACUCAAUAUUUCCUUCUAGGAUCACCCUCCAUCCUCAACUCUCCAGUGAGAUUUGGCUUGUGGGGACAUUUCCCUCUGAGUUAUAAUAAACUUUGUGCUGUAAAAGUUGCUUAA